rnacentral:misc_RNA from 1 species
UUUAAUUCCAUAAGUAAUUCACAUCAAAUGCCACCUGUCGCCCCACCACGAGGGGGGCUGGGUCAUGUCCCCCAAAGCAACAAGAGGUCAACAAACCCCAUUAAACAUUCAACAUUGCAAAAUAAAAAUCCAAGCCUGGUCCUCAAGGAAGACAUCACAGUUUAAUAUCUCAACAUUUCUUUCAAGGGGUUUCAAAUUUGAAGCCUACGAAGAGCAACCCGGCGCGGCUAAAAAAAGAAAAUAAUGAAGGACAAUGAAAGUUUUUAACUACCAAUUAUAAAUUGAAUUAGGCCUAUGGGUUACAUUCUAAACUCAAAUUAAUUAACAUAGACACUCACUCCUACCGAUAUUAAUUUUGUGCCCUUGUGGAUCUUCACUGCUGCUUUGCACUGAGGAGUUUUCUGGUUCCAUUCAGAUGCUGAUGGGUCUAUGCAUAUGAACAAAUGUUGUCAAAUCCCAUGUACUCCUUCCUCUCAAUCUUUUUGAUCAUGUGUGCUAUGCCAACCCCACCUAGUAAUAGAGCACUCACAAAGAUCGUGGACGCCAGAAUGAAGAUUAUUAUAGAUGCUCUCCCUAAUAUACUAAUCAACUUUCUUACCACAUGUUGCCCUAUAAAGGCGGCAACAAUAGACACCGCAAAGAAGUAGAGAGCGUAAGGAACUGGGAAACGCUUUAGAAGGUAAUAUUCUAUGACAGACAUCGAGGCAGAGAAAGUCAUAGCAAAUGUGGCUGUGGCACUUGACACCCACAUCAAGGUGCUUAAUGUCAGUACAGGCAUGAACUCAGUUUUACUCUGGCAUGUUGAUACAACAGAUGGCAAUUGCACCUGAGGGGGGAUUCCCAUCCCCAGAAAGAGAGGACCCAAAAUGAAUCCUCCACCAAGUCCAAGCAUCCCACCAACUAUUCCAGCCAACACACCAAUGACACAAUAGAGAACAAGUCGGUGAACUCGCCAGUUUGUGCUUGCUUCUCCCAUGGAUGCAAUCUUUCUCCGCCCUUUGUACAGGCUAACUGCCUCAUAUGCAGUUACCCCAACAGCUACAGGGAUCUGAGAGACAACACCAAAGCAUAUAGAACUGUUCUGACAGAAGACGCUAAGAUUUCAAAGAAACUUAGGAAUAAUGCAAGUCAUUUAUUCUUUGACUAUCAUACUGAAUAUACCAGCAGAAUGUUUAAUACCCAAUAUGUUACAGAACAGGUUGUCGAGUAAUUCUGGGUCCAAGAUUUAUAAGUUCCCCAUCAGUCUAGCCCAUGAAUACACAAGACUAUGAAUAGAAUGAAAAUAGCACUAAGUCAAUGAAACCUUGCCAAUCUGCAAACCAAGAAUUAUCAGCCACACAGCAAUAAGAAGUCCAAGUUCCUUCCAGUAAACAUUCUCAACAAUAGAGACCUGAGACAUUUACAGAAGUUAGUCAUGAAAAAUCAUUAGUAAAUUAAGGGCAGACUCUACAUAUUCUCACCUUCUCUUUUUUUGACUGAUUGGGUUCUGCUCGAACAGCACUGAUUGGGCCUCCAGGAGGAGUUUUGUCCUCCACCUCUUCAGUUGUGUCUUCAACAAAUUCCAAGUGUCUAGUAGCCUCCUUUUUCAAUUUGGUUUCUUUUUUCCAUGUUUCAACACCCUUGAAGAAUGCCUUGGAUGACGUGACUAUGAAGAGAAUGAUUAGCAAAAUUGUGAUUGUCCAGUCAGCAAAAAUGACGUUGAGAGCAACUCCCAAGCUAAUUCCCAGAACCAGCAUUGGUUGAAAUAGAAGUGCCAGGUCAUAGUCAAUGAUAGGCAGCUCAAGUGUAGGAUGCCUUAACUUUAAAUUGUAGUAAACUGUUGCAGCUGCUGCACCUGUGAUCAUACAUUUUGAUAUGGCUAUUGAUGAUUUUGCAUCAAACCCAAUAAUCAGGGUGAGCAUUGGAACAAAAAUGCCACCCCCACCACCACCCCCCACACUGCCACAUGCUGCACCAAAGAAUCCAAUUAUGCUACCAAGCACAAUUUUCCAGCCAAAUCUCAUUUCCUUCUUUCUCCUCCUGUUCCUCAUCACCAUUUCCACCAGCAGCACCGCCAUUUUCUUCCUUCUUGUCUCCAAUCUUCAACCCCUUUAACCCAUCAUCCACACACCCUUUCUCUCUCUCUUUCUCCUCCACAUCAAUACCACCCACCACCACCUUAUCCCCGCCCUCCCACACAACGCCACCACUCUUCUUUGCCACGCAUGGUCCCUGCACUUCCGUCUCCGUGUCUACUCCCACCAAAGUGUCCAGCAUAGCCGAGUCCUGUGACCCACCGAUGACCUCAUCAGUCAAGCCUUUGGCCUCUGGCCAAGGGUCCUGAACACAAUCGUCUUCUUCAUCGUCAGAGAAUAAAGAGGCGGCGCCUGAUUUGAUGGCAGAGGCAGCUUUGAAGAAAGCUUCUUUAAUGGACUCAUGAGGGAGAGCACAGUCCUCAAGGCCCGCGUCUUCGAGGCGUGGAGGGAGGAUCUUGUGGAGUAAUCCAGUGGAUUCUUGCUCCUUUGAGGCCUCCAUUGUUGAUGAAACAGAAAUGGAAAAACCCUAAUCCUCUAAAACAAGAGCAGUAGUCUUUAAGCUAGGGAUAAAUUUUUUUUUUGGCUUCUGUUAAGAGCUGUGCUGCUGAAAUGGCAAAUGACGAUUAAACGGGCCACCAGAUAUAUUCUGUUGAUAUUUG